rnacentral:rRNA from 1 species
AGACCCGAAACCCGGUGAUCUAGCCAUGGGCAGGUUGAAGGUUGGGUAACACUAACUGGAGGACCGAACCGACUAAUGUUGAAAAAUUAGCGGAUGACCUGUGGCUGGGGGUGAAAGGCCAAUCAAACCGGGAGAUAGCUGGUUCUCCCCGAAAGCUAUUUAGGUAGCGCCUCGUGAAUUCAUCUCCGGGGGUAGAGCACUGUUUCGGCUAGGGGGCCAUCCCGGCUUACCAACCCGAUGCAAACUGCGAAUACCGGAGAAUGUUAUCACGGGAGACACACGGCGGGUGCUAACGUCCGUCGUGAAGAGGGAAACAACCCAGACCGCCAGCUAAGGUCCCAAAGUCAUGGUUAAGUGGGAAACGAUGUGGGAAGGCCCAGACAGCCAGGAUGUUGGCUUAGAAGCAGCCAUCAUUUAAAGAAAGCGUAAUAGCUCACUGGUCGAGUCGGCCUGCGCGGAAGAUGUAACGGGGCUAAACCAUGCACCGAAGCUGCGGCAGCGACGCUUAUGCGUUGCUGGGUAGGGGAGCGUUCUGUAAGCCUG